rnacentral:lncRNA from 1 species
UUGAAAGACCCCACCUCUGCCUUUCACAUUAAUAGUAAAAUUAUAUACCAUUGAUCAUGCUUCUUUUCAAGCCCACUAGAUGUAUGUUUAUGCUAGAUUUGUAAAAGACACCUUUUAAGAAUUCAGAGGAAACUACUGAAAACUGUAUUUCAUCCUGUGCUUCUCAAGGAAGCCGGUCGAGAGAGUGUAAUAAAGCCAUCUCAGAACUUUAUAAACACAUUAGCUGCCAUUGAGCAUGCACACAUCAGUAAGUAAAUACGUUCGUUCUGAAAUCACGCCAAGUAUGGACCAGCUAGUUCCCAGUCUGCUUGAUCACCAGGAGAGCACUAUAAAGAAGCCCUAUAGAUAACAAACAUGGGAGAGCAGUCUGCUCUCUCUGGUUAUUUCCGCAAGACUCUGGUGAUGCUGGAGAAUCAGUCACUGGCUUUUAAAAAUGGUUGUGCCCUGACUAAAGCACUUUAAAAUAAACAGUAAAGCCACAACCUUACCAAGUGUAACUUCAAGAUAAUAGAAAUAGUAGGUGAUAGACUUGACCUUGCCUUGGCUCUGGUUCUGCGAUAUUUGGCAGAUCAGGGUUCCAAGAGCCUCAGAGUUUUCAAAACACCUAAGAACCUUUUAAUAAUUAUGCAAACACCAGGACAGACUCAAACCAAAAGCAUGGCCUGUAAUUCUUUCCCAGAGAGAGCCAUUCCUUGACAGUAGCAGUAUGCGUGACUUUUUGAAGAAGACACAAAUGCUAAUCUUCAGAAUGCCUGCAUUCCUUAAUCUCAUGCUUGGCAUUUAGAAUUACAUAAGUAGCAAGAUACAGCAAAAUGCACAGGAUUACUGCUCAUUUUAAAGUUGGCUUCCAAACCAGAGAAAGAAAAAAAA